GGAAGGGUGCGUGAGCGGUUGAAACGACCAGUCUCGAAAACUGGCAGGGGUGCAAGCUCCUCGAGGGUUCGAAUCCCUCCCCUUCCG
rnacentral:tRNA from 1 species